GAUGAACGCUGGCGGCGUGCCUAAUACAUGCAAGUCGAACGAAACUUCUUUAUCACCGAGUGCUUGCACUCACCGAUAAAGAGUUGAGUGGCGAACGGGUGAGUAACACGUGGGCAACCUGCCCAAAAGAGGGGGAUAACACUUGGAAACAGGUGCUAAUACCGCAUAACCAUAGUUACCGCAUGGUAACUAUGUAAAAGGUGGCUAUACUACCGCUUUUGGAUGGGCCCGCGGCGCAUUAGCUAGUUGGUAGGGUAAAGGCUUACCAAGGCAAUGAUGCGUAGCCGAAUUGAGAGGUUGAUUGGCCACAUUGGGACUGAGACACGGCCCAAACUCCUACGGGAGGCAGCAGUAGGGAAUCUUCCACAAUGGGCGAAAGCCUGAUGGAGCAACGCCGCGUGGGUGAAGAAGGUCUUCGGAUCGUAAAACCCUGUUGUUAGAGAAGAAAGUGCGUGAGAGUAACUGUUCACGUUUCGACGGUAUCUAACCAGAAAGCCACGGCUAACUACGUG
rnacentral:rRNA from 1 species